AAACCCAUCACUGACGGAGCUGGACCUGAGUGGUAAUAAACUGGGAGAUUCAGGAGUGAAACUGGUGUCUGUGGCUCUGAGGAACCCGGAGUGUAAAAUACAGACACUGGGGCUGAGGAAUGUCGGUCUCACAGAUUCUGGUGUCGAGGAUCUCGUCUCCGCUCUCAGUACAAAACCAUCACUGACGGAUCUGGACCUGAGUGAAAAUAAACUGGGAGAUUCAGGAGUGAAACUGGUGUCUGCGGCUCUGAGGAACCCAGAGUGUAAAAUACAGAAGCUGCAGCUGAUCCAUGUCGGUCUCACAGAUUCUGGUGCCGAGGAUCUCGUCUCCACUCUCAGUACAAACCCAUCACUGACGGAUCUGGGCCUGGGAUUCAACUCUCUGACAGACCGAUCUGUCCCCGGUCUCCGCCGCCUCAUAGUGACCCUCCCGAGUCUGGAGUUGAUCUGGCUGUUGGGGAAUCGGUUCAGUGAGACCGGGGAGAAGGAACUGAGAUCUCUGCAGGGAUUCAGACCCGGACUGACAGUGGAUCUGUGAAAAUCUGAAUGUGUGAACAUCUGAAUGUGGUGAAUCGGUUCAGUGAGACCGGGAUGAAGGAACUGAGAUCUCUGCAGGGAGUCAGAACCGGACUGAGAGUGGAUCUGAGAACAUCUGAAUGUGGUGAAUCGGUUCAGUGAGACCGGGAUGAAGGAACUGAGAUCUCUACAGGAACCCAGACCUGGACUGAUGGUGGAUCUGUGAACAUCUGAAUGUGUGAACAUCUGAAUGUGGUGAAUCGGUUCAGUGAGACCGGGAUGAAGGAACUGGGAUCUCUGCAGGAACCCAGACCCGGACUGAGAGUGGAUCUGUGAACAUCUGAAUGUGGUGAAUCGGUUCAGUGAGACCGGGAUGAAGGAACUGGGAUCUCUGCAGGAACCCAGACCCGGACUGAGAGUGGAUCUGUGAACAUCUGAAUGUGGUGAAUCGGUUCAGUGGGACCGGGAUGAAGGAACUGCGAUCUCUACAGGAACCCAGACCCGGACUGAGAGUGGAUCUGUGAACAUCUGAAUGUGGUGAAUCGGUUCAGUGAGACCGGGAGGAAGGAACUGAGAUCUCUACAGGAACCCAGACCCGGACUGAGAGUGGAUCUGUGAACAUCUGAAUGUGGUGAAUCGGUUCAGUGAGACCGGGGAGAAGGAACUGAGAUCUCUGGAGGAACCCAGACCCGGACUGAGAGUGGAUCUGUGAACAUCUGAAUGUGAUGAAUCGGUUCAGUGACACCGGGAUGAAGGAACUGAGAUCUCUACAGGAACCCAGACCCGGACUGAUGGUGGAUCUGUGAACAUCUGAAUGUGGUGAAUCGGUUCAGUGAGACCGGGAUGAAGGAACUGAGAUCUCUACAGGAACCCAGACCCGGACUGAGAGUGACCAUGUGAACAUCUGAUUGUGGUGAAUCGGUUCAGUGAGACAGGGAUGAAGGAACUGAGAUCUCUACAGGAACCCAGACCCGGACUGAUGGUGGAUCUGAACAUCUGAAUGUGGGGAAUCGGUUCAGUGAGACCGGGAUGAAGGAA